rfam:Lactobacillus bifermentans DSM 20003 NODE_19, whole genome shotgun sequence.
ACAAUAUUCCGCUGUCAAGGUUUGAUAAGAAUAUUUG